rnacentral:rRNA from 1 species
AACGAACGUUAGCGGCGCGCCUAACACAUGCAAGUCGCACGAGAAAGGGCUUCGGCCCCGGUACAGUGGCGCACGGGUGAGUAACACGUGGGUAAUGUUUCCUCGGGCGGGGGAUAACCUUCCGAAAGGAGGGCUAAUACCGCAUAAGACCACGGCUUCGAAAGAAGCUGAGGUCAAAGCAGGCCUCUUCAUGAAAGCUUGCACCUGAGGAUCAGCCCGCGGCCCAUCAGCUUGUUGGCAGGGUAACGGCCUACCAAGGCUAAGACGGGU